rnacentral:rRNA from 1 species
UGCAGUCGAGCGAAUGGAUUGAGAGCUUGCUCUCAAGAAGUUAGCGGCGGACGGGUGAGUAACACGUGGGUAACCUGCCCAUAAGACUGGGAUAACUCCGGGAAACCGGGGCUAAUACCGGAUAACAUUUUGAACUGCAUGGUUCGAAAUUGAAAGGCGGCUUCGGCUGUCACUUAUGGAUGGACCCGCGUCGCAUUAGCUAGUUGGUGAGGUAACGGCUCACCAAGGCAACGAUGCGUAGCCGACCUGAGAGGGUGAUCGGCCACACUGGGACUGAGACACGGCCCAGACUCCUACGGGAGGCAGCAGUAGGGAAUCUUCCGCAAUGGACGAAAGUCUGACGGAGCAACGCCGCGUGAGUGAUGAAGGCUUUCGGGUCGUAAAACUCUGUUGUUAGGGAAGAACAAGUGCUAGUUGAAUAAGCUGGCACCUUGACGGUACCUAACCAGAAAGCCACGGCUAACUACGUGCCAGCAGCCGCGGUAAUACGUAGGUGGCAAGCGUUAUCCGGAAUUAUUGGGCGUAAAGCGCGCGCAGGUGGUUUCUUAAGUCUGAUGUGAAAGCCCACGGCUCAACCGUGGAGGGUCAUUGGAAACUGGGAGACUUGAGUGCAGAAGAGGAAAGUGGAAUUCCAUGUGUAGCGGUGAAAUGCGUAGAGAUAUGGAGGAACACCAGUGGCGAAGGCGACUUUCUGGUCUGUAACUGACACUGAGGCGCGAAAGCGUGGGGAGCAAACAG